GUGACCAGGAUUUUAUGUACCAAAAAAUACAGGCUAAUACAGGCUAAUUGCUGCUUUGCACUAUGCUUCACUUUCUUUCAGUUUGCCUCUUCUCUCUUCCACUCCUUUAAAGUAUAAACAUCUUCAGUAUAUGGAUGUAAUGUCAGUCGGCACUUCAUUUCAAAGCACAAAAAUGUGUAAAGCUGGUUUAAAUKUUUACAUCAGCUGUGAAUUUUACACAAUGCAUUUCAGCAGACCUGGAGAAAGGACCCAGAAGCCUUUGCCAUCUAUGCAGACCCACUAGGACAAGUCACAGCUCCUCCUGUGCCGAACUGUCCACACAUCAGAAGAGCUAAGGAGAUUUGAAGUAAAAAUGGAAGUAGAAUCAUGGUUGCUCUCUAAGAAAAUAGACCAGACACUGGAAGGGAUUUGCAAGUUGAGAUAGGAUCAUAAAGGUAAUAUUCUUCUAUAGAUGACUGCAGAAUUUUGAACUGGAGGCUUGUUUCAAUAUGAAACAAACUUCCAAAUAAAUACUAUAUUGAAAUA
rnacentral:lncRNA from 1 species